UCCCAGGUGUUCCUACCAUCCCCUGGGCCCUGGUUCCUGAAACCCAUUGAUGGCCCCAGGAAUUGAGCUUCGCUGGAGCCCAACCAAGAGUUUCCCCAAGCACCUUGCUCAAUUUGGCCUCCGUCCUCUCCGUGCCUCCUCAUCCGCGAGCCAUCUCCUUCCCCAGAUUCUGCAACGCAAAAGGGCCAGUAAGAAUCAUCACUGCAGAAGAUCCAAUGAGGAGUCAAGAGCUUCAAUCCCAAGAACUGAAUAUUGAAAGUCCUCGGCUUCCUGACUGGAGUGAUGGGUGUCGAUUUCUGUCUGUGCCUUGACACCCGCUGUGCUUUGGCCCCUGGAUCGUGACAUCACCAUUAUCAUCAAAGUAUAAGUAAUAUUCAUAACUAUGUUUAUUUUCCCAGUGCAUCCAAGGGACUUAGGGUAGGCAAUGGCUGAUCGUCACCAUCUUUUUCCUGCCACAGGUUUUUUUCCCCCCCUUCAGCAGUGUAUGCAUGCACGCGUGCAAACACAGUUUCUCUCUCUCUCUCUUUCUCUCUCUCUCUCUCUCUCUCUCUCUCUCUCCCCCUCCCCCCCCCUUGGGGCCUACUAUGGCACUUAUAAGGAAGAGGCCUAAUAUUGGGGGGCUGGGGAGGGAGAGACUUGAGAGGGAACUACAGCUGCUCUCCACCCUGCCCAGCCCUCCCCGGUCCUUGCGGCUCCGGCGAAAUGGGAAGUGGAUGCUGAAAACUGGGAAAGAGCCAGCUUUGGCAAGGAAGCAAGAGGAAAACAUUUCAAAAGCCAGGCUGGGCUGGUUGGACAGGCGGGAGGUGGGAUUUGAA